rnacentral:rRNA from 1 species
AGAGAGAGUUCAAGAGUACGUGAAACUGCUUAGAGGUUAAGCCCGAUGAACCUGAAUAUCCAUUAUGGAAAAUUCAAUGCUAAUAAUAUGAUAUAUAAAAAAUAUUGUAAAAAUAGUGUGCAAUUUUUCCAUAUAAGGACAUUGUAAUCUGUUAAUGUAAUAAAUAUUUAUCAAAAGAUCCAUUACUUAAGUUUAUUUAAAUUGUUUAUUUUCGGAUAUUCAACAUAAAAUAAAUGUUUUGGAUUUGAUAAAUCAUUGACAGAUAUAAUUAUAUAUUGUGCUUAAAUUUGAAGGAAUUUUACAAUGAUGAAUAGAUCUAUUGAUUUAUUUAUUUAAUUGUAUGCACUUUUAUGAUUAACAAUGCGAUAGAUUCAGGAUACCUUCGGGACCCGUCUUGAAACACGGACCAAGGAGUCUAACAUAUGUGCAAGUCAUUGGGUAUUUUUAAUAAAACCCAAUGGCAUAAUUAACUUAACUGUUAUAUAAUAAUGGGAUUAGUUUAUAAUUUGUUAUGAAUUAUUUAUUCAAUCCCGGGGCGUUCUAUACAGUUAUGCAUAAUGAUAUUUAUAUUAUUUAUGCCUCUAACUAGAGCGUACCUUGAGCAUAUAUGCUGUGACCCGAAAG